rnacentral:rRNA from 1 species
AAACGAUGGAUGCUAGGUGUGGGAGGUAUCGACCCCUUCCGUGCCGGAGUAAACGCAAUAAGCAUCCCGCCUGGGGAGUACGACCGCAAGGUUGAAACUCAAAGGAAUUGACGGGGGCCCGCACAAGCAGCGGAGCGUGUGGUUUAAUUCGAAGCAACGCGAAGAACCUUACCAAGGCUUGACAUCCCCCGCUAUCUCGGGAAACCGGGAGUUCCCUUCGGGGACGGGGAGACAGGUGGUGCACGGUUGUCGUCAGCUCGUGUCGUGAGAUGUUGGGUUAAGUCCCGCAACGAGCGCAACCCUUGUACUUAGUUGCCAGCAUUAAGUUGGGCACUCUAGGUAGACUGCCGGUGACAAACCGGAGGAAGGUGGGGAUGACGUCAAAUCAUCAUGCCCCUUAUGUCUUGGGCUACACACGCGCUACAAUGGUCUGUACAAAGGGAAGCGAGGUCGCGAGACGGAGCGGAUCCCAUAAAACAGAUCUCAGUUCAGAUUGCAGGCUGCAACUCGCCUGCAUGAAGUCGGAGUUGCUAGUAAUCGCGGAUCAGAACGCCGCGGUGAAUGCGUUCCCGGGCCUUGUACACACCGCCCGUCACACCACGAAAGUCUGCAACACCCGAAGUCGGUGAGCUAACCGCAAGGAGGCAGCCGCCGAAGGUGGGGCCGGUAAUUGGGGUGAAGUCGUAACAAGGUAACCGUA